GUCAGUGUGGUCUAGUGGUUUGAAUGUUGGACUAUGACUCCAGAUACCUGGGUUUGAUUUCCUGCUCAGCCA